GAUGCGGUGACGGAGUAGUGACACUGACGCGAACUGACGGAAUAGUUCGUUAAAGGCAGUAGGUAUAGGAUGUGUAGUUAAGUACGCACGUCUUGCUGAAUGCUGAUAGUACCGCAAACCUUCGGGGGCGUGGAUAGUUCAGGUAAUCAAACUUCCAAGAAAACCCGCUAAGCUCCAGGUUAUAAAAACCCGUACCGUAAACCGACACAGGUAGUCGAGGAGAGAAUCCUAAGGUGCUCGAGUGAAUCAUGGCUAAGGAACUCGGCAAAAUGGCCCUGUAACUUCGGGAGAAGGGGCGCUGGCAGCAAUGUCAGCCGCAGUGAAAAGGCCCAGGCGACUGUUUAACAAAAACACAUGGCUUUGCAAAAUCGAAAGAUGAAGUAUAAGGCCUGACACCUGCCCGGUGCUGGAAGGUUAAGAGGGGAUGUUAGUCGCAAGGCGAAGCAUUGAAUCGAAGCCCCAGUAAACGGCGGCCGUAACUAUAACGGUCCUAAGGUAGCGAAAUUCCUUGUCGGGUAAGUUCCGACCUGCACGAAUGGUGUAACGAUCUGGGCGCUGUCUCAGCCAUGAGCUCGGUGAAAUUGUGGUAUCGGUGAAGACGCCGGUUACCCGCAACGGGACGGAAAGACCCCAUGCACCUUCACUAUAGCUUAACAUUGAUAUCGGGUACAGGAUGUGUAGGAUAGGUGGGAGACUGUGAUCUGGCUUCGCUAGGAGUCAGUUAGUCAACGUUGAAAUACCACCCUUUCUGUAUUUGGUGUCUAACUCGGCAAUGUCGAGGACAUUGUUUGGCGGGUAGUUUGACUGGGGUGGUCGCCUCCAAAAAGGUAACGGAGGCUUUCAAAGGUAAGCUCAGUACGCUUGGUAACCGUACGCGGAGUGCAAUAGCAUAAGCUUGCUUGACUGUGAGGCAGACAAGCCGAGCAGGGUCGAAAGACGGAUAUAGUGAUCCGGUGGUUCUGUAUGGAAGGGCCAUCGCUCAAAGGAUAAAAGGUACGCUGGGGAUAACAGGCUGAUCUCCCCCAAGAGCUCAUAUCGACGGGGAGGUUUGGCACCUCGAUGUCGGCUCGUCACAUCCUGGGGCUGGAGAAGGUCCCAAGGGUUGAGCUGUUCGCUCAUUAAAGUGGCACGCGAGCUGGGUUCAGAACGUCGCGAGACAGUUCGGUCCCUAUCUGUUGUGGGCGUUGGAAGUUUGAGUGGGGCUGACCUUAGUACGAGAGGACCGGGUUGGACUAACCUCUGGUGAAUCUGUUAUGCCGCCAGGUGUACUGCAGAGUAGCUACGUUGGGAAUAGAUAAGCGCUGAAAGCAUCUAAGUGCGAAACUAGCCACGAGAUGAGACUUCCAUUGAGGGUCGUAGUAGACUACUACGUUGAUAGGUUACAGGUCUAAAGGUGGUGACAUCAUAGCCGAGUAAUACUAAUAGCCCGAAGCUUUCUUCGU
rnacentral:rRNA from 1 species